ACGCACGCUGGCGGCGUGCUUAACCCCUGCAAGUCGAACGGAAAGGCCCUGCUUUUGUGGGGUGCUCGAGUGGCGAACGGGUGAGUAACACGUGAGUAACCUGCCCUUGACUUUGGGAUAACUUCAGGAAACUGGGGCUAAUACCGGAUAGGAGCUCCUGCUGCAUGGUGGGGGUUGGAAAGUUUCGGCGGUUGGGGAUGGACUCGCGGCUUAUCAGCUUGUUGGUGGGGUAGUGGCUUACCAAGGCUUUGACGGGUAGCCGGCCUGAGCGGGUGACCGGCCACAUUGGGACUGAGAUACGGCCCAGACUCCUACGGGAGGCAGCAGUGGGGAAUAUUGCACAAUGGGCGGAAGCCUGAUGCAGCAACGCCGCGUGCGGGAUGACGGCCUUCGGGUUGUAAACCGCUUUCGCCUGUGACGAAGCGUGAGUGACGGUAAUGGGUAAAGAAGCACCGGCUAACUACGU
rnacentral:rRNA from 1 species